rnacentral:rRNA from 1 species
AACGAACGCUGGCGGCGUGGAUAAGACAUGCAAGUCGAACGGGGCAGACCGAGUAGCAAUAUUUGGAAUGUUCAGUGGCGAACGGGUGCGUAACACGUGGAUAACAUUCCGGAAAGCGGGGAAUAGCCCAGGGAAACUUGGAUUAAUACCGCAUGUGGCCGCAAGGCUAAAGACGGGGACCGCAAGGCCUGUCACUUUCCGAUUGGUCCGCGGCCUAUCAGCUAGUUGGCGGGGUAAUGGCCCACCAAGGCUACGACGGGUAGCUGGUCUUAGAGGACGACCAGCCACACUGGAACUGAGACACGGUCCAGACACCUACGGGUGGCAGCAGUCGAGAAUCUUUCACAAUGGGGGCAACCCUGAUGGAGCGACGCCGCGUGGAGGAUAAGGUCUUCGGAUUGUAAACUCCUGUCAUGCGAGAACAAGGUACUCAGGCUAAUAACCUGAUUGUUUGAUGGUACCGCAAGAGGAAGAGACGGCUAACUCUGUGCCAGCAGCCGCGGUAAGAC